CGCCCCCUUCUCUGAUGACCAGCCCCCGGCGCUCCGUCUCCUCCCGCGCAUGUGCGCGCCUCGGUGCCGCACCCCCACCCUCCGCACCUGCGCAGCACCGUCCGCUGCCGUGAGCCGAGCCUUGGCGCGGGGCUCUCAGACUCCCGCCCUCCUCGGCCGCAGCCUUCUUCCAGCGGCUUCUGUUCACAGUUCCCGAUUUAUAGAUGGAUUUUCAGUUCCCAGUUUAUAGAUGAAUUUAUAAAAUUUUGACACAGACGUAAGAAACGUUUCAAGGCUAUUAGGGGACUUCUGUUAAAAUGGUGGAAAGUUGUUGCAGAACAGCUCAGGAGCGUGAUUCAUCAAACAUUCUUACGGAAAUGGAGUUUAUUGUGAAAAUUAUCAUUGGAGUCAGGUUUGAAGGUUGUAGGAGAAAGGUUUUACCGAAUUCAAAAAGACGUGGCCGGACGGGCUCCUCCUGGCUCACCUGCCCACCUCCUACCUUGUAAGACAAGUCUUUCACUUGGGGUGCGCUAGGUGUCCUACGGAAGGCUAAGCCCUGCUCCCGCUUCAAGAUCCUGCUUAAGAGACGCUUUGAGCCUCGCACCCAGGUUUUGAAGCCCCUAAGUAGUGAUAUGCUUAGCGGCUUCCCCAAUAUCUUGCAGUUCUUGGAGAGCUGGAAUGGUGGCCUGUGCUACAUGUGAUCUGGUCUCUCUCCAGUGUCCUUAAUAGGAGGCACUGCCAUUCAGAUGGUUGCACAAGGCAGAAAAUAGAGGAGUACCUAAAAGAGGGUGGAAGAUGCUUAUUGCUUGGUUGCCCAGAAGAAUCAUGGCUGUUGCUGAUAAUUAUGACUGACAGUGAGCAAGGAAAGCCUGCCAGGCCUUCCCUUGUUCCUAGACAACAGACUCAACACUGAUUAAACUUAUAACCCUGGAAUUUAAUAAAUUUCCUAGUCACUGAGUUUUGGACUUAGAAUAACAACAACAACAAAAAAAACCUAAAAAACAAGAAACCAAACCAGAAACAGAAGUAAGUAUUGGCUUCUUGAUGAAUGCUCAAUGACGGAUUUAAAAACUCGGUGUAUAUUACAGAAGUUACUGAUACACAUAAUCCAUUUGAUCGAUGCAAGGGUAACAACAGUCAACUGAGAAAACUGAAUUCCCUUUGGAGUCUGAGAAAGCCACUUUCGACUCCCUAAGGAAUUGUCUGCCCUUGAUUUCCUUUGAAAAAUCGACAGAUGUAAUCCGUUGUGCCUAAGUUUUCCAUCAAGAUUGAGGUGCAUAACCCUUUCUUUCAUAAAGUUAAAUAUCAUCAAGGAA